GAUGAACGCUAGCGGGAGGCUUAACACAUGCAAGUCGAGGGGCAGCAUAGGGUAGCAAUACUCUGAUGGCGACCGGCAAACGGGUGAGUAACGCGUAUGCAACCUACCCUGUACAGGGGGAUAACCCGGAGAAAUUCGGACUAAUAUCCCGUAAUAAUAUCCGGAGGCAUCUUUGGAUAUUUAAAGUUCCGACGGUACGGGAUGGGCAUGCGUAACAUUAACUGGUUGGUAAGGUAACGGCUUACCAAGGCUAUGAUGUUUAGGGGUCCUGAGAGGGUGGUCCCCCAACUGGUACUGAGACACGGACCAGACUCCUACGGGAGGCAGCAGUGAGGAAUAUUGGUCAAUGGGCGCAAGCCUGAACCAGCCAUCCCCGGUGCAGGAAGACGGCCCUAUGGGUUGUAAACUGCUUUUCCAGGGAGAGAACUUACGCACGUGUUGCGUGACUGACGGUACCCUGGGAAUAAGCAUCGGCUAACUCCGUGCCAGCAGCCGACGGUAAAAGUGUGUGUA
rnacentral:rRNA from 1 species